CUUUUAUUUAGCUGUAAAGCCCUAGGGGCAAAAGCUGCGCCCAACGUGGGGCUCGAACCCACGACCCUGAGAUUAAGAGUCUCAUGCUCUACCGACUGAGCUAGCCGGGCUCUUGCAGGGCGGAGAGGGAGCAUGGCAAUCCACUCCAGGAUUCUUGCCUGGAGGAUCCCAGGGUCGGUGAGCCUGGUGGGCUGCUGUCUAUGGGGUCGCACAGAGUUGGACACGACUGAAGCGACUUAGCAGCAGCAGCAGCAGCAACAGCAGCAGCAGCAGCAUUAAGCCGAUUGGGAAGGCUUGAUGGCCUCGCCUCCGGGACAAGGCGGAGUGGAGGUGGGGUGGGGGGAUGUGGACCCCUUGCUCGUGCAAAAAUUUGGAGCAGCUGCGCUUCGGGGAGAAACACCAGCUAGUUUUCGGUUUGAAGACUCCGGAACUCUGCGGAAUCCCGAGCGACUGAAUCGUGGUUCCCGCCGGCCGCGAUCCGAUCGUCCGCACUCGGUUCCGUUCUGCCAAGUGGCCGUCACUGCGCUGGGGUCGCACGCAGGGGCGGCGGCCUCCUCGAGCUCUGGGUCUGGCGCUGGGGGAGGAGACCGAGAUGGGUCAGCCUCGGCUCUCGGGAGACCAGCUCCGUGUGCCAGACGGUCACUGGACUGGGUGAUGGUGUGACUUGGGGCGUGUGUUUAUACUUUGGGUAAUAAACUCAAAUUUUAUGACCCAAGUAAAG
ensembl:lncRNA